rnacentral:rRNA from 1 species
UGAUGCAGCAACGCCGCGUGAGGGAUGACGGCCUUCGGGUUGUAAACCUCUUUUAGCAGGGAAGAAGCGAAAGUGACGGUACCUGCAGAAAAAGCGCCGGCUAACUACGUGCCAGCAGCCGCGGUAAUACGUAGGGCGCAAGCGUUAUCCGGAAUUAUUGGGCGUAAAGAGCUCGUAGGCGGUUUGUCGCGUCUGCUGUGAAAUCCCGAGGCUCAACCUCGGGCCUGCAGUGGGUACGGGCAGACUAGAGUGCGGUAGGGGAGAUUGGAAUUCCUGGUGUAGCGGUGGAAUGCGCAGAUAUCAGGAGGAACACCGAUGGCGAAGGCAGAUCUCUGGGCCGUAACUGACGCUGAGGAGCGAAAGGGUGGGGAGCAAACAGGCUUAGAUACCCUGGUAGUCCACCCCGUAAACGUUGGGAACUAGUUGUGGGGUCCAUUCCACGGAUUCCGUGACGCAGCUAACGCAUUAAGUUCCCCGCCUGGGGAGUACGGCCGCAAGGCUAAAACUCAAAGGAAUUGACGGGGACCCGCACAAGCGGCGGAGCAUGCGGAUUAAUUCGAUGCAACGCGAAGAACCUUACCAAGGCUUGACAUAUACGAGAACGGGCCAGAAAUGGUCAACUCUUUGGACACUCGUAAACAGGUGGUGCAUGGUUGUCGUCAGCUCGUGUCGUGAGAUGUUGGGUUAAGUCCCGCAACGAGCGCAACCCUCGUUCUAUGUUGCCAGCACGUAAUGGUGGGAACUCAUGGGAUACUGCCGGGGUCAACUCGGAGGAAGGUGGGGAUGACGUCAAAUCAUCAUGCCCCUUAUGUCUUGGGCUUCACGCAUGCUACAAUGGCCGGUACAAAGGGCUGCAAUACCGUGAGGUGGAGCGAAUCCCAAAAAGCCGGUCCCAGUUCGGAUUGAGGUCUGCAACUCGACCUCAUGAAGUCGGAGUCGCUAGUAAUCGCAGAUCAGCAACGCUGCGGUGAAUACGUUCCCGGGUCUUGUACACACCGCCCGUCAAGUCAUGAAAGUCGGUAACACCUGAAGCCGGUGGCCUAACCC